UACGUAGGGUGCAAGCGUUAAUCGGAAUUACUGGGCGUAAAGCGUGCGCAGGCGGUUUUGUAAGUCUGUCGUGAAAUCCCCGGGCUUAACCUGGGAAUGGCGAUGGAGACUGCAAGGCUAGAGUUUGGCAGAGGGGGGUAGAAUUCCACGUGUAGCAGUGAAAUGCGCAGAGAUGUGGAGGAACACCGAUGGCGAAGGCAGCCUCCUGGGCCAGCACUGACGCUCAUGCACGAAAGCGUGGGGAGCAAACAGG
rnacentral:rRNA from 1 species